rnacentral:rRNA from 1 species
GGUCUGAUUGUAGGUUAUCUUGCUUUAUGUAUUUGUGGUUAAUUUGUUUUUAAUUAAAAUAUUAUUUUGUUGUUGUAUUUUUUUUUGAUUUAAUUUUUUUGCUAUAGGUUAUUUGUAUCGUAAGAGGUUGAUGGGUUAAAUGUUUUUUUGGAAGCUGAUUUUAUUUGUCGUACCUUGUGUAUCAGGGUUCAUUGAAUUUUAUUAUUUAUUUUUAUUUCCCGAUUUUAAAGGAGUUAGUGGUUUAUGUUAGUUGCUGUUUUAUUAGUAUUAAUAAUAGGCUGUUGGUAGUGAAAUGUUAUUCGUCUUUAGUGGUUUCUGGUUUUUCAAGAAAUGAAUUUAAUUCAUGCAUUAUGUUUAAUUUCUGUUGUUAUUUUAUUUAUUUUUAUUUGAUGUUAAGAUUAAGGGGGAUUAGCUCCUUGUUUUAUCCUUAUAAUUGAUUUGUUGUUUAAUUUAGUUUUGUGGAUUUUAUAGUGAUUUUCUAUUUGAUUAUGUUAAAAUUUUAUUUGUUCUUUUAUUUAUUUUUUGUUAUUUAAGUUAUUUAUUGAAAUGUUUUCUUUAUUUUUGGUUUGUAUAGUAAUUAUUGUGUAAUUAGUAAAUUUAUUGUUUUUGUAUGAUAAGUAUAGGUGUUAAUUGCUUUUGAGGAAUUAGGCAAAAAUUUAUGUCCGCCUGUUUAACAAAAACAUCUUUUCUCGUUAGUUUUUGAAGUAUGGCCUGCCCACUGACGUGUUGUUGAAGGGCCGCGGUAUUUUGACCGUGCAAAGGUAGCAUAAUCAUUAGUUCUUUAAUUGUGAUCUGGUAUGAAUGGCUUGACGAGACAUAAGCUGUCUUAGAAGUAUUGUUUAUUGAAUUUGGUUUUUGAGUUAAAAUUCUUAAAUGUUUUUAUGGGACGAGAAGACCCUAUAGAGUUUAACAUUCUUCCUAUUUGUUUUUUGUUUGUUUUAUGCUUGUUGAGUGGGAAUAUUGUUUUGUUGGGGUGAUGGGAGGAAUUAAUUUAACUCCUCUUUGUUUUUGUAUAUUUAUAUAUAUCUUUUUGAUCCAUUUUUUUUGAUUAUAAGAUUAAAUUACCUUAGGGAUAACAGCGUUAUCCUCCUUGAGAGUUCUUAUUGGCGGGGGGGUUUGCGACCUCGAUGUUGGAUUAAGGUGAAUUUUCGGUGCAGGAGCUGAAAUGAUUAGGUCUGUUCGACCUUUAAAAUCUUACAUGAUCUGAGUUCAAACCGGCGUGAGCCAGGUUGGUUUCUAUCUAUAGAAUUGUUUUAUACCUUAGUACGAGAGGACCGGGUAUUUGGAAUAAUUUCAUUUAAAUUGGGGUUUGUUAAUGUGUUACUAUUUUGGCAGAUAAGUGCAUUGGAUUUAGAAUCUAUUAA